rnacentral:rRNA from 1 species
GACGAACGCUGGCGGCGCGCCUAACACAUGCAAGUCGAACGAGCGAGCGAGAGCUUGCUUUCUCGAGCGAGUGGCGAACGGGUGAGUAACGCGUGAGGAACCUGCCUCAAAGAGGGGGACAACAGUUGGAAACGACUGCUAAUACCGCAUAAGCCCACGACCCGGCAUCGGGUAGAGGGAAAAGGAGCAAUCCGCUUUGAGAUGGCCUCGCGUCCGAUUAGCUAGUUGGUGAGGUAACGGCCCACCAAGGCGACGAUCGGUAGCCGGACUGAGAGGUUGAACGGCCACAUUGGGACUGAGACACGGCCCAGACUCCUACGGGAGGCAGCAGUGGGGAAUAUUGCACAAUGGGGGAAAGCCUGAUGCAGCGACGACGCGUGGAGGAAGAAGGUCUUCGGAUUGUAAAGUCCUGUUGUUGAGGAAGAUAAUGACGGUACUCAACAAGGAAGUGACGGCUAACUACGUG